AAUAAGAAAACUUAAGGCCUAAAACAAAAGGAGCAGGUUUAUGGUUGCGGUUCAUACACUUCAGACAUGGCUACCACCACCAGUAGAACCCUGCUGAAGGAGAUGCUGCACCUCUCUUCCACGCUUCCUUUCUCUUUUUCUCUACGUCUUCGUGUUCUUCCAUCUCUAUCACCCUCUUCAUCUCACCUUAACUUGAACCUUCAGUUUCGGCCCUCUCGCCCUUCCACUCCCUUCACUCCAAUUCGAUGCGUUUCUUCUUCGGGUCCCGGCAAUGGCGGAAACAAGGUAUCUUCUCGUCUCUCUCAGGUUCACCAGCUUCUCCAAGAAGCUGAAGAACGUGCUCUCUCAGCUGACACUGGUCCCACUCCUAAAAUCACCUUAGAUCAUGUUACGGUGAGCUAUGCCAGAAGUGGUGGACCUGGGGGUCAAAAUGUGAAUAAAGUGAACACCAAGGUGGACAUGCGAUUCAAUGUUAAAAAUGCAUAUUGGCUAAGUGACAGGAUCAGGGAGAGAAUUAUGCAAAUGGAAAAAAACCGAAUUAAUAAGGAUGGGGAGCUUGUGAUUUCUUCCACAAGAACUAGAACACAGAAGGGUAACAUUGAGGAUGCUUUGGCAAAACUUCAGACGGCUGCCAGCUAUCCUUGCACUUCCUUAUUCACUCUUGGACCACAGGAGGAUUUACAUCUAUUUUUUUUCCUGAGUUUCGGGAUGGUGGACCCAAGGAAAUCAUUGAUGCAGCAGCAUAUGUGCCACCACCUCCCUCUGAAGAGCAAAAGAAGAAAAUUGCAAAGAUGUAAGAGCACUUCACUUUUGUAUUUUCCUCAGUCUUCAGGUUAAAUACGAAUUAUUCUAGGGCUGCAAUAGGAGAGCAGAAACGCCUCAAAAGCAAGAAGGUGCUUUCAGACAAGAAAGCGUUCAGAAGAAGCAAAAAUAGUUGGGACUAACAUUCAUUUCCAGAUGGUGAACGUGUACAUUAUUUUUAGUUACAGGCACCAUAAUUGGACUAUAAAAUAGAAAUAUUGGACCAGCAUAGCACAACACCUACGGAGUUACCUCCUGAUACAAGGCCAAAAUUAUAAUGUACUAUCUAGGACUUGAUGCAUAUAGAAAUAUCAAUUAUUUGAUUUUAUCCUUACAAUGUUUCCUAUUUUCCUCAAUUUGAGCGCUUUCUCGUGAUUUGGGGGGCAAUGGAUCAAUUAUUGACCCUAUGCAUAGCACGUGUCGUUAGUUGUGGCACAACUUUGAAGGUCAACGAAACAUUUUUAUACACGAUUUUGUCUUUGCCGUAGUUACUUUUCUAUUUAGGUAGUUGUGAGGGACUGCUGGUGGCGUAGUAAAUGCUUGUGGUUAAGGAAAUGGAUAUGAUUCCGUGAUAGAAUUCUUGAAUUAUAAUUCAAACUUCAAACUAGUAUAUGAACGCCACUUGUGUU